rnacentral:snRNA from 2 species
GUCCCUUCGGGACCUACGAUCAAACUGGAAUGAUACAGAGAAGAUUAGCAAAGCCUUGCUCAAAGAUGACACACACAAAUUGAGAAAUAGUUCAAUUUUUC